rnacentral:tRNA from 1 species
AAAUAAGAAACAAUAAAUUGUAUUUAGUUUCGACCUAAAAAUUAGGUGAUAACCACCCUUAUUUA